AUAAGCUUGGGUCUCAGGAAAACAGAAUUUCUAAUUUGGGUCCCAGGCUGAAAAAGUUUAAGAACCACAGUUUAUCAACGUGCAACAAAAAAUACGUUUGGACAAUGAGCACUUGUCUCUCAAAACAUCGUUACAGUUGUUUAGCUAGCUAGCCAAUUGUAGACAUAUUUAACGUUACAUUGACAUGAAAUCAGUCAACACACCUCAAAACAAGACAUGGUAUCGAGAACACUGUUGCCAACUAAUUUUCAAGGUAAGUUGCUAGAGGCAGGUUGAUUUGUUGCUAAAAGUUGUUAAAUGACGUUGUGAUAUCAAUGCGUGAUAAUGUAAAACUGCGUCAUUACGUUGAAUACACAAUAACGUUACUCAAAUUGACUGGCCAGCUCGGCAAAAACUAUGAUUUGACAUUUGUUCAGGUCCUGCGUUGCAUCUUAUAUGUAACACCGAAUGAAGGGAUGACGACUAACGUCUACCACCAGAAAAAAAUGCUGAUAGUCUUCUGCUGGACCCAUGGGUUGAGGCAAACUCUGUCAUAUCCAGGAUGAAGUGUCAUGCACUCCACCCCUCCUGCCACCUGACUGCACCUGUACGUACAUGAAGACAGAACCUCACCCAGAGACCUGUGAAUGUCGGUAUGUGGUUAGACAGCCAAAUCCUUAGAAUAUACCAUAGAAAUAGAAUUGAAUGCAUUGCUAUUUCUGGGACAGCUGAAGUUGUACCGAAGAUUUGUAUGCUACUUGUUCUAUCUGUGGUUCUCCUUUACACACAACUUAUUUGUAUUUUUGCUAAGUAGUGUAGGCAUACUGUCUUUAUAAGCACAUCAAUAUUACAGCAGAAAAUGGUUUGUCUUUACAUGAAAACAUGUGUAUACUUUAAAUGCAUACAUUCAACAGCUGAUGAUACCAAAAUGAACAAAUGGCGGGAAAUCAAGCAUUAGAUGCCUUUGCAGUAUGAAUAAGCUUAGUAUGUUGAUAUUCAUUGCUUACUGCAUAUGUUUUUACGGUACGCUCUAAAUAAUAUGAAGUAUGAUUAGUAAACAGAAGUAUGUACUUUUAGUAAGUAGUAGGCAAGACAGAUAUUGGAUACGGACCAUGCCUCUGGAUUUGAUGAAUGUGAAAUGUCAGAUGAAUAUAAAUAUCUUCUUUCCCAGCACUGUCUCUAAGUAGGUUGGUAUACAAUAUGAGUCUUAAAUCUGGUCACACCCUAAAAAGUCACACCCUGGAAGAUAAACAUACUCUCUAAAACUUGUGUUGUGUUUGCACCUAGCAAGUACAAUGGAAUUGCGCACACAUUACAUCCAUUUAAGCAGUCCUUAUUUGUCAAGAAGGUUCUAAUAGUAACAAUUAGACAUGUUGAGUCAGGCAUCACUCUCAGGGAUGUACAGGUUCAAAAGUGAUACUCACAUUUUGAAAGAAACUCACCCGAAUUUCUUAACUAAAUAAUUUGGGUAACACUUUGUGAAUGUUAAAGGUGCCAUAACAACCUAAUAUUUAAAAAUAAUUCAAAAGAAAGCAUAAUAAGUUAUUUUUUCAUUACAGUAUUAAGUAGCAGUAUUGUUGCUGGUGUUGCUGACUGGAUUAGUCCUGUGCACCACAAGGCUGUAUUAGACUCUGCUGAGCUAAAGCCAAGGCAUAAGCUUCUGGAUCAAUGGGUGUUAGGCCGGGUAUCUGUAAAGUGCUUCCUGACCACCGCUGAUGUAAAAAAGGCUUUAUAAAAUAAAUGUGAUUGAUUUGAUUGGCGCUAAUACAUGUCUUCAGGUAUCAGGAAAGGUUACUAAACACAUUACAAUGUCAUCAAUUGCUCUGACCUGAGUUCAAAUAGUAUUGAGCCUGUCUGGAGUAGAGUGCCAGAAAUAUGUGGUUUGCUCUUUUGGGACUAUUACAAUGGUCCCAAGCUCAAUCAUCGACCACAGCUCAUUAGAGUAUUUGAAAUAUACUAUUUAUCCAGGUCUGGUUCCAACCCCUUCUGCCAUUGUGUCCUUGAGCAAGGCACAUAAACCACUGAACUGCUACUUGGGUACUGCUCUGAGGCUUACCUGAUGCUCCCAGACUGUUGCGACCUGGCCAAGAUAAAGCAAAGCAGUUCGACACAUAUAACAUCACAGUUACACAUGGAGUAACACAAACAUACAGUCAAUAAUACAGUAGAAAAAUAAGUCUAUAUACAAUGUGAGCAAAUGAGGUGAGAUAAGGGAGGUAAAGGCAAUAAAUAGGCCAUGGUGGCGAAGUAAAUACAAUAUAGCAAUUAAAACACUGGAAUGGUAGAUUUGACAGUAGAUGAGUGUGUAGUUGUUUUAGUCUACUCAUAAAAGUGUGUUUGUCUUUCAAGAAAUUCCACAAAUUAACUUUUAACAAGGCACACCU